GACGAACGCUGGCGGCGUGCCUAACACAUGCAAGUCGAGCGAGGAGAGUUUCUUCGGGAACAAACCUAGCGGCGGACGGGUGAGUAACACGUGGGCAACCUGCCUUGUAGAGGGGAAUAGCCUUCCGAAAAGGAAGAUUAAUACCGCAUAACAUUACAGUUUCGCAUGAAACAGUAAUUAAAAGGAGCAAUCCGCUACAAGAUGGGCCCGCGGCGCAUUAGCUAGUUGGUGAGGUAACGGCUCACCAAGGCGACGAUGCGUAGCCGACCUGAGAGGGUGAUCGGCCACAUUGGGACUGAGACACGGCCCAGACUCCUACGGGAGGCAGCAGGUGGGGAAUAUUGCACAAGUACGGGGGAAACCCUGAUGCAGCAACGCCGCGUGAGUGAUGAAGGUUUUCGGAUCGUAAAGCUCUGUCUUCGGGGACGAUAAUGACGGUACCCGAGGAGGAAGCCACGGCUAACUACGUG
rnacentral:rRNA from 1 species